rnacentral:rRNA from 1 species
UUUGGUUUUGGGCAUGGGGGCACCCUGACCAGCGCGCCGCGUGUGUGAAGAGGCCUGCGGGCUGUAAAGCACCCCUAGUGGGGAUGAAAAGCUCGGGGAUAACACCUCCGGGUCUUGACCUAACCCACAGAAAAAGCACCGGCUAACUCUGUGCCAGCAGCCGCGGUAAUACAGAGGGUGCAAGCGUUAAUCGGAAUUACUGGGCGUAAAGCGUGCGUAGACGGUUACAUAAGUCGGGUGUGAAAGCCCCGGGCUCAACCUGGGAAUUGCAUUCGAGACUGCGUAACUUGGGUUGCGAAAAAGGGAAGUGGAAUUUCCGGUGUAGCGGUGAAAUGCGUAGAUAUCGGAAGGAACAUCAGUGGCGAAAGCGACUUUCCUGGUCCAGCACCGACGUUUUAGGCACGAAAGCGUGGGGAGCAAACAGGAUUAGAUACCCUGGUAGUCCACGCCAUAAACGAUGAGAACUAGACGUUGAGAGGGUAAGCCUCCCAGUGUCGAAGCUAACGCGAUAAGUUUCUCCGCCUGGGA